AAACUUUAUGUCUCAGGUUCAAUGGAAAUAUAUGUCAAUCCAUCUUUUGUGGCUGAUCUUUUCUAAGUUCUCUAAAUGAACAUCAAGGUGGUCACUCUGUGAAAGUAUUAAGUGCUCACAGAAUCUGAGCUGAACUUCUGUCUACAGGAGCAUCAAAAGAUCACGAGAAGAUUCUCAUUCACCAAGAAUGCAUCUGUUUUUCUCAUUCAGCAGAAUAAUUCUACAAAGUCCCAAGAGACUCUGUCGAGGCAUAGAUACAAGCCAAAGAUCCUCCCAUUUGAACUGCUGGCUUCACCAAUUGUGGAGAAAAGUUUUGGAAUAACAAAAUCAAGAAGUUGGUACUUAGUCCAUCCUCCCUUCACAUAGGUCAGCCAGUGUGCUGGAAUUUUCAUUAACAUUCAUUAUUAUUUUCGUCUGGCCAAAUACACUAAGAGUUAAACAUGAUCACAUGCCUACUUCUGGCCAGUGAACUAUGAGCCAAAUCAUGUACUAUCUCUUCUACUGUUAUCUGUCUUCUCUUUCUCUGCUAAACUGGUCACAGAAAUUUAUGUUUAGAGGGAAACCCUAUAAGACCAAAGCAUCCUGGAACACAUGUACCACAUGGAGGACAGAAAUUCUGUAUUGCCUCCCAGAUCUGCAGCAGACUUUGAGUGAAUGAGAAACAAACUGUUAUUGAAUCCAAUUACUGGAUCAAGAUAUUGAUUUUUGUUUCUGCUGAACAACCUAAUCUAUCCUAAUAAAUAAACCUGGCACUUCCAAAGUGCUACAUCUAUCAGGAUUAUUCUUAUUCUAAUGAGUUUAUCCAAUGGAUCCGUUAGUAUGUCAGAAUAGGGGAGUAAAAAUACAUUAUUUCAUUGUAAAAUUUCUUUGUCUUCACCAUCUUUGGGGUUCUUUAUUAAUUGCAUUUCAUUACCAGGUAGAGAGACCAAUUAUCAGUUAAAACUCUGGCCCUACAUUGUUAACUUUUGAAGUUAACAGAAAUAUUUCUUAAUCAAUUUUUAGGAAGAAUUAUUUAAUCAUAUGUCAUAUAUCAUUUUUUUCAUCUCUCAGCUUUCUCCCAUUCCUCUAUAUAUCUAAGAUUAAGUAAAUACCAGCACUCCAUUAUACUAUUAUUUUUAAAACAUCCUUCUUUGCAUUUUUCUCCAAACUAACUUUAGAAUUAUUGAAUUAAAAAUUAUGUUCCAAUUUGAUGUAAUUGUGCUAAUUUCAUAUGGUACACCAGGAAUAGUAAAAUUUUUUAUAACAUUUAGCUGAAGUAUCUGGAUACAUGAUUCAUUUCAAUAAAUUCCUUUUCUUUAUUUAUCCCACCAAGAUGUUAUAGCUCUCUCUACAGAGAUCUAACAUACCUCUUCUUGUGUCUAUCCCUAGUUUUUAUAGAUAAUUUACUUCUGUUUUGAAUGGAGUCUCCAUUAUUGCUAAUGCCUUAAUUGGAUAAUUUUACCUUUGAUAUAGCUAAUGUUACUUUGGCAUUUUUUAUUAAUCUCUUACUGUUUACAAGAAUUUUCAUAGUAUCAGUAUCCAUAAUAGGUCAAAACUGGAAACAAAUCAAAUAUCCAGACAAAGAGGAAAGAAUAAUUCUGCUAUAUUCACACAUUGGAAUACUACAAUUAAAAAAGAGAAGUAAGCAGUGGUCCAUUCAAAUGCAUCAGGGGUGAAGAUGCCAAAUUAAAAGAGCAAAUGUUGUAUGAGUCUACUCACAUGAAAUUGAGGAACCGGCAAAAUAAUAUAGGUUGAUAAAAAUCAAAAUAAUGUUCUCUUUAAAGAGAGAUUGACUGGGAGACAAGAGACAACUUGUGGGUGAAGGAAAUAUACUGUAUCUUGAUUUGGAUAGUGGUUUCAUAGGUGUAUAUAUAGAAGCUAUGUCUUUGUAUCUAUUUUGCUAUAUGCAAAUUAUAACAUUAAAAUACACAUUCACACAACAAAGAAAAUUAAUUUAAUAGGAAUAGGGUGACAAUGACCAGGGUAGGGCAUGAGGGAAACUUCUGGGUUGGUGCAAAUAUUCUUGAUCUGAGAGGUGGAUAUAUGUCAACAUAAGUUACAAUUCAUCAAGCUGUAUGUAGUAAUUUUAUGGAUUUUAUGUGUUUUUAUUUCAAUAAAAAUAUCUUGAUGCUAAGAAG
rnacentral:lncRNA from 1 species